CAUCCUCCAAGGCUAAAUACUCCUGACUGACCGAUAGUGAACCAGUACCGUGAGGGAAAGGCGAAAAGAACCCCGGCGAGGGGAGUGAAAAAGAACCUGAAACCGUGUACGUACAAGCAGUGGGAGCCCCACCACUAAGCCAGUGGUGAACUCCACAUACGCAUCCUUUGCUGAGGAUACGGUUAACGGAGCGAAAGCGACGUUCAACCUCAAAAGAAGCAGAGGGGGCUUAGUGGUGGGGUGACUGCGUACCUUUUGUAUAAUGGGUCAGCGACUUAUAUUCUGUAGCAAGGUUAACCGUAUAGGGGAGCCGGAGGGAAACCGAGUCUUAAUUGGGCGUUAAGUUGCAGGGUAUAGACCCGAAACCCGGUGAUCUAGCCAUGGGCAGGUUGAAGGUUGGGUAACACUAACUGGAGGACCGAACCGACUAAUGUUGAAAAAUUAGCGGAUGACCUGUGGCU
rnacentral:rRNA from 1 species